CAGCAGUAAGGAAUAUUGCGCAAUGGGCGAAAGCCUGACGCAGCGACGCCGCGUGAGGGAAGAAGGCCUUCGGGUUGUAAACCUCUUUUCUUGGUGAAGAGUAAGGACGGUAACCAAGGAAUAAGCCUCGGCUAACUACGUG
rnacentral:rRNA from 1 species